rnacentral:rRNA from 1 species
CCUACGGGUGGCUGCAGUAGGGAAUCUUCCACAAUGGGCGAAAGCCUGAUGGAGCAACGCCGCGUGGGUGAAGAAGGUCUUCGGAUCGUAAAACCCUGUUGUUAGAGAAGAAAGUGCGUGAGAGUAACUGCUCACGUUUCGACGGUAUCUAACCAGAAAGCCACGGCUAACUACGUGCCAGCAGCCGCGGUAAUACGUAGGUGGCAAGCGUUAUCCGGUUUUAUUGGGCGUAAAGGGAACGCAGGCGGUAUUUUAAGUCUUAUGUGAAAGCCUGCGGCUUAACCGGUGUAGUGCAGUGGAAACUGGGAGGCGUGAGUGCAGGAGAGGAGAGUGGAA